GAGCGUCUCAUCUCCCGAGCAGAAGGAGGCAGACUGAGCUGGAAGGUGGAGGAGAGAGAGGAGAGAAAGAAAGGGGGCGUUCAUACGGGGACACCAGGCAGCCGCCUCCCCACAGCACAGAGACAUUCUUCAGCAUCUCCUCGAGUAUCCACAGAUCAUCUGAAUCCAGCUGGGAGAUACGGUCCCUCGCAGGGACUUUUGGUACCUCGGAUCAGAUUGUAUCAGCAGAGUGGACGGUGUUGGGUUAGAGCCGGCUGUAAUAAUGGUCUCAUUGGGGUUGACCCACUGAGGGAUUAUUCAUCUACCGGCCCUUCCAGCAAACAGGCAUCUCCCCUACGCCUGCUUUCACCUUCACUUCCUCCUGAAAUCUGUGUCCUGGAAACAUUGGAGAUGAGAGUGCCCCCCUGCAAAUAAACGGUCAUUACCAUGACAACAGCAGGAGGAUGCUGAUCAUGGCAACAGUGGCAGGCAGCCAGACCAACAGCCCGGUUCUACCCCAGGGGGCAAGCCAGCACAUCCACUCCAGGGUUUUAUAUCAGAGAGUGUGCUGGAGGCAACUGGGUCACCCUCAACUGGAGGACCGCUUUCAGAGAGCUUAAGGGGUACUGGAGCAAACCAACAAGCAGGCUCUCUCCCUUCUUUUAUUAGAACCAAGUCUGAGCAGUUUCCGUCACAAGCCUGGAAAUCGCAAACGAGUUGACUUCAGGUCGGAGUGAAACAGCAUGGCUCAGAAUAUCAAAUGUCCAUGAUUCAUCCCCAUUAGCAAUAAAACCGAAGUCUAAUCGGG